rnacentral:rRNA from 1 species
GAUGAACGCUGGCGGCGUGCCUAAUACAUGCAAGUCGAGCGAACGGACGAGAAGCUUGCUUCUCUGAUGUUAGCGGCGGACGGGUGAGUAACACGUGGAUAACCUACCUAUAAGACUGGGAUAACUUCGGGAAACCGGAGCUAAUACCGGAUAAUAUUUUGAACCGCAUGGUUCAAAAGUGAAAGACGGUCUUGCUGUCACUUAUAGAUGGAUCCGCGCCGCAUUAGCUAGUUGGUAAGGUAACGGCUUACCAAGGCAACGAUGCAUAGCCGACCUGAGAGGGUGAUCUGCCACCCUGGAACUGAGACACGGUCCAGACUCCUACGGGAGGCAGCAGUAGGGAAUCUUCCGCCAUUGGCGGAAGCCUGACGGAGCAACGCCGGGUGAGUGAUGAAGGUCUUCGGUUCGUAAAACUCUGUUAUUAGGGAAGAACAUAUGUGUAAGUAACUGUGCACAUCUUGACGGUACCUAAUCAGAAAGCCACGGCUAACUACGUG